rnacentral:ncRNA from 1 species
GAUCGAGUGGGCGAGGAAUACAAUACCUUCGGGGAAUAACUCCAGCUUACUGCUAGGCUUUCGAAUCACUCGAUCGCCAGUUA